rnacentral:rRNA from 1 species
CAAGUCGAACGCGAAAGUUUCCUUCGGGGAGCAAGUAGAGUGGCGCACGGGUGAGUAACACGUAGGUAAUCUACCUUUGGAUUGGGAAUAACAACCGGAAACGGUUGCUAAUACCGAAUAAUGCAGCGGCACCUAAUGGUGACAGUUGUUAAAGCGGGGGAUCGCAAGACCUCGCGUCUGAAGAGGAGCCUGCGGCGGAUUAGCUAGUUGGUAAGGUAACGGCUUACCAAGGCUAUGAUCCGUAGCCGGCCUGAGAGGGCGGUCGGCCACACUGACACUGACAUACGGGUCAGACUCCUACGGGAGGCAGCAGUCGGGAAUUUUGGGCAAUGGGCGAAAGCCUGACCCAGCAACGCCGCGUGAAGGAUGAAAUCCCUCGGGAUGUAAACUUCGCAAGAACGGGAAGAAUAAACCGGUGUUAACACCACCGGCGAUGACGGUACUGUUUGUAAGCUCCGGCUAACUCCGUGCCAGCAGCCGCGGUAAUACGGGGGGAGCAAGCGUUGUUCGGAUUUACUGGGCGUAAAGGGCGCGUAGGCGGCCACUGCAAGUCGGUUGUGAAAUCUCCGGGCUUAACCCGGAAAGGUCAAUCGAUACUGCAGGGCUAGAGUGCAGAAGGGGCAACUGGAAUUCUCGGUGUAGCGGUGAAAUGCGUAGAUAUCGAGAGGAACACCUGCGGCGAAGGCGGGUUGCUGGGCUGACACUGACGCUGACAGUGCGAAAGCUAGGGGAGCGAACGGGAUUAGAUACCCCGGUAGUCCUAGCCUUAAACGAUGAAUGCUUGGUGUCUGGGGUUUUAUAGUCCCCGGGUGCCGUCGCUAACGCUUUAAGCAUUCCGCCUGGGGAGUACGGUCGCAAGACUGAAACUCAAAGGAAUUGACGGGGACCCGCACAAGCGGUGGAGCAUGUGGUUUAAUUCGACGCAACGCGAAGAACCUUACCUGGGCUA